rnacentral:misc_RNA from 1 species
GCAUCCUGGGAGCUUCUCUGGUUGGUUUGUUUCCGGUGGUUGGCUCUCUGCUUUUGCAACAACUUCCACCUGGCAAUCCUCCUCAUGUUUGCGUUAGGGUUGUCCUUUGCGCGCUUUUGGUUAGCUGUGUUGCCUACCUGUGUGACGGCAUUGUUAGAUAAUAUGUCCUGUUUUGUCUUCGUGUCGUACGUCGCGUGGGAUAAACCUUAAAGCUGAUUCUAUGAUCCACUUUGUUGACGCGCAUGCGCCGAUGUCGUGGCCCAUUGAGUUUUGCUUGGUGACUCGGAUACAGAACAUGAUAUGGGCUAGGGUCUCUGCGGACCCUCUUUGCCCUAGUUGAACGUUAUUACAUCUCUAAGACGACCUCCUAGCCCGAAUUGGCUCGUACCACCGGGUAGGUUGAUGUUGUUAAAGAGAAAAUGAUAGCGUUUUGCUUUCCUUAAAACGAACGGCCUUGCCUGCAUGGGCUUGUACCAGCGGGUGGGCUAUGUCGAAGAGGGAUGCUACCUGGUUGAUCCUGCCAGUAGUCAUAUGCUUGUCUCAA